rnacentral:rRNA from 1 species
CAGCUCGUGCCGUGAGGUGUCGGCUUAAGUGCCAUAACGAGCGCAACCCCUAUCGACAGUUACUAACGGGUCAAGCCGAGGACUCUGUCGAGACUGCCGGCGCAAGCCGCGAGGAAGGUGGGGAUGACGUCAAAUCAGCACGGCCCUUACGUCCGGGGCGACACACGUGUUACAAUGGCAGGUACAGAAGGCAGCCAGUCAGCAAUGACGCGCGAAUCCCGAAAACCUGUCUCAGUUCGGAUUGGAGUCUGCAACCCGACUCCAUGAAGCUGGAUUCGCUAGUAAUCGCGCAUCAGCCAUGGCGCGGUGAAUACGUUCCCGGGCCUUGUACACACCGCCCGUCAAGCCAUGGAAGCCGGGAGUACCUGAAGCAUGCAACCGCAAGGAGCGUACGAAGGUAAUACCGGUAACUGGGGCUAAGUCGUAACAAGGUAGCCGUACC